GAUGAACGCUGGCGGCGUGCCUAAUACAUGCAAGUCGAGCGAACGGACGAUAAGCUUGCUUCUCUGAUGUUAGCGGCGGACGGGUGAGUAACACGUGGAUAACCUACCUAUAAGACUGGGAUAACUUCGGGAAACCGGAGCUAAUACCGGAUAAUAUUUUGAACCGCAUGGUUCAAAAGUGAAAGACGGUCUUGCUGUCACUUCUAGAUGGAUCCGCGCUGCAUUAGCUAGUUUGUAAGGUAACGGCUUACCAAGGCAACGAUGCAUAGCCGACCUGAGAGGGUGAUCGGCCACAUGGGAACUGAGACACGGACCAGACUCCUACGGGAGGCAGCAGUAGGGAAUCUUCCGCAAUGGGCGAAAGCCUGACGGAGCAACGCCGCGUGAGUGAUGAAGGUCUUCGGAUCGUAAAACUCGGUUAUUAGGGAAGAACAUAUGUGUAAGGAACUGUGCACAUCUUGACGGUACCUAAUCAGAAAGCCACGGCUAACUACGUG
rnacentral:rRNA from 1 species